rnacentral:tRNA from 1 species
GAAAGGUGGCCGAGUGGUUUAAGGCUCUAGUCUUGAAAACUAGCGAGGGUACAAGCCCUCCGUGGGUUCGAAUCCCACCCUUUCC